rnacentral:rRNA from 1 species
AAUGAACGCUGGCGGCAUGCCUAACACAUGCAAGUCGAACGAGACCUUCGGGUCUAGUGGCGCACGGGUGCGUAACGCGUGGGAAUCUGCCCUUGGGUUCGGAAUAACAGUUAGAAAUGACUGCUAAUACCGGAUGAUGUCGAAAGACCAAAGAUUUAUCGCCCGAGGAUGAGCCCGCGUAGGAUUAGCUAGUUGGUGAGGUAAAGGCUCACCAAGGCGACGAUCCUUAGCUGGUCUGAGAGGAUGAUUAGCCACACUGGGACUGAGACACGGCCCAGACUCCUACGGGAGGCAGCAGUGAGGAAUAUUGGACAAUGGGCGAAAGCCUGAUCCAGCAAUGCCGCGUGAGUGAUGAAGGCCUUAGGGUUGUAAAGCUCUUUUACCCGGGAUGAUAAUGACAGUACCGGGAGAAUAAGCUCCGGCUAACUCUGUGCCAGCAGCCGCAGUAA